rnacentral:rRNA from 1 species
GAUAGUUUGAUCCUGGCUCAGGAUGAACGCUAGCGGCAGGCUUAACACAUGCAAGUCGAGGGGUAGAGAGUGCUUGCACUCUUGAGACCGGCGCACGGGUGCGUAACGCGUAUGCAAUCUACCUUUUACAGAGGGAUAGCCCAGAGAAAUUUGGAUUAAUACCUCAUAGUAUUAUUAAUUGGCAUCAAUUGAUAAUUAAAGCUGAGGCGGUAAAAGAUGAGCAUGCGUUCUAUUAGCUAGAUGGAGUGGUAACGGCACCCCAUGGCAACGAUAGAUAGGGGCCCUGAGAGGGGGAUCCCCCACACUGGUACUGAGACACGGACCAGACUCCUACGGGAGGCAGCAGUGAGGAAUAUUGGACAAUGGGCGAGAGCCUGAUCCAGCCAUGCCGCGUGCAGGAAGACGGUCCUAUGGAUUGUAAACUGCUUUUAUACGGGAAGAAACACCCCCUCGUGAGGGGGCUUGACGGUACCGUAAGAAUAAGGAUCGGCUAACUCCGUGCCAGCAGCCGCGGUAAUACGGAGGAUCCAAGCGUUAUCCGGAAUCAUUGGGUUUAAAGGGUCCGUAGGUGGAUAAUUAAGUCAGAGGUGAAAUCCUGCAGCUCAACUGUAGAAUUGCCUUUGAUACUGGUUACCUUGAAUUAUUAUGAGGUAGUUAGAAUAUGUAGUGUAGCGGUGAAAUGCAUAGAUAUUACAUAGAAUACCAAUUGCGAAGGCAGAUUACUAAUAAUUGAUUGACACUGAUGGACGAAAGCGUGGGGAGCGAACAGGAUUAGAUACCCUGGUAGUCCACGCCGUAAACGAUGGAUACUAGCUGUUCGGAGCAAUCUGAGUGGCUAAGCGAAAGUGAUAAGUUCCCACCUGGG